AAUCUUGCGCAAUGGGCGAAAGCCUGACGCAGCCAUGCCGCGUGAAUGAUGAAGGCCUUAGGUUUGUAAAAUUCUUUCAUCGGGGACGAUAAUGACGGUACCCGGAGAAGAAGCCACGGCUAACUUCGUGCGAGCAGGCGCGGUAAUACGAAGGGGGCUAGCGUUGCUCGGAAUUACUGGGCGUAAAGGGCGCGUAGGCGGACAUUUAACUCAGGGGUGAAAUCCCAGAGCUCAACUCUGGAACUGCCUUUGAUACUGGGUGACUUGAGAGUGAGAGAGGUAGGUGGAACUCCGAGUGUAGAGGUGAAAUUCGUAGAUAUUCGGAAGAACACCAGUGGCGAAGGCGACAUACUGGCUCAUUACUGACGCUGAGGCGCGAAAGCGUGGGGAGCAAACA
rnacentral:rRNA from 1 species